rnacentral:rRNA from 1 species
GACGAACGCUGGCGGCGUGCUUAACACAUGCAAGUCGAACGGAAAGGCCCUGCUUUUGUGGGGUGCUCGAGUGGCGAACGGGUGAGUAACACGUGAGUAACCUGCCCUUGACUUUGGGAUAACUUCAGGAAACUGGGGCUAAUACCGGAUAGGAGCUCCUGCUGCAUGGUGGGGGUUGGAAAGUUUCGGCGGUUGGGGAUGGACUCGCGGCUUAUCAGCUUGUUGGUGGGGUAGUGGCUUACCAAGGCUUUGACGGGUAGCCGGCCUGAGAGGGGGGCCGGGGGCAAGGGGACUGCGGUAGGGGGCAGAAGGGUACGGGAGGCAGCGGUGGGGAGUAUUGCGGAAUGGGGGGAAGCCUGAGGCAGCAGCGCCGGGUGCGGGAUGACGGGCUUCGGGGUGUAAACCGCUUUGGCCGGUGACGAAGCGGGAGUGACGGUAAUGGGUAAAGAAGCACCGGCUAACUACGUG